GGAUGAGCCGCGGCCUAUCAGCUAGUUGGUGAGGUAGUGGCUCACCAAGGCGACGACGGGUAGCCGGCCUGAGAGGGCGACCGGCCACACUGGGACUGAGACACGGCCCAGACUCCUACGGGAGGCAGCAGUGGGGAAUAUUGCGCAAUGGGCGAAAGCCUGACGCAGCAACGCCGCGUGCGGGAUGAAGGCCUUCGGGUUGUAAACCGCUUUCAGCAGGGAAGAAGCGAAAGUGACGGUACCUGCAGAAGAAGCACCGGCUAACUACGUGCCAGCAGCCGCGG
rnacentral:rRNA from 1 species